UGGGGAAUAUUGGACAAUGGGCGCAAGCCUGAUCCAGCCAUGCCGCGUGAGUGAUGAAGGCCCUAGGGUUGUAAAGCUCUUUCACCGGUGAAGAUAAUGACGGUAACCGGAGAAGAAGCCCCGGCUAACUUCGUGCCAGCAGCCGCGGUAAUACGAAGGGGGCUAGCGUUGUUCGGAUUUACUGGGCGUAAAGCGCACGUAGGCGGACUAUUAAGUCAGGGGUGAAAUCCCGGGGCUCAACCCCGGAGCUGCCUUUGAUACUGGUAGUCUUGAGUUCGAGAGAGGUGAGUGGAAUUCCGAGUGGAGAGGUGAAAUUCGUAGAUAUUCGGGGGAACACCAGUGGCGAAGGCGGCUCACUGGCUCGAUACUGACGCUGAGGUGCGAAAGCGUGGGGAGCAAACAGG
rnacentral:rRNA from 1 species